GCUAAAAAAACACGGCUAGAGCUAAGACCCUAACACUGAAAAUCAAGCGCCGCAAUUCUCAAAAAGAAACCCUCCCCCCAUUGCUUCUAGUCUUCCUCUUCAAAGAAUCGACGGACAAUCCACCAUUUUUGAACAAAAAUGAAGAAGGGUUAAAAGCCUUCAGCUGCUGGAACGUAAAGAGAUUCACCAUCACCCUCACCUCGCCGGAACAACCACGAACUAAACUUCCUCUUUCACCUUCAACCUCCAUCGCGAACCCGCCCUUUACCACCAAGCAGUGUCUCUACCAGCCAUCGAGACUUCUUCGUCUAGAACGCAAACACACGCACACGCUGAAGCAACAGAGAAGCAAGGGCAGUGAACGAAAAAAAGGGCUGAAAAAAGUGAGGAGCCCAAAAGCUCGUUUAACAGUCUUUUCCGGCGAGUCUCGAGUUUUUUCUGACUGUUAUGCUGGUUCCUUGUCGAGGUUGAAUCCAUCUUAGAGCUCGUUUGUAAGAUCUGUUCGGCGCUAGAUAUUGAAGUUUCUGAGUUCGUUGAGGUCCGGUGCAUCGAGGUCGUCAACCGUAGCUCUGGCCGGAUUUUUUUUGUUCAUUGUUUCAAAAACGUAUUGCUAUAUAAAGAUUUGAACCCAAAAUUUACAAUCAGCUAAAUUUGAGGAGAAGUGAGUUUCAACAGAACAUCGACUCGAUCUUUCUGAGUUGAUUUGUAUCCGUGAAGUCGACUCGAGUUCCUUGUUGCUCGGUGACUGAAUCUGUAGAAGGAAUUUGAGCUCAGUUCUUGCUUGAGUUUUUGAGUUGUUUAACUUCAAUUGUACUGGAAAGUUUGACUAGCUGCUGUUGAAUUUUGAUCGAGAACUUGUUGUCAAGUUUUUAGUUGAAUCUGAUAGUGUCUACUGCUGCACUGAAUACUUGUGUGAAUUUUUCGAUGUAAUUUCUGCUUUGGUUUCUGCUGAGUUCAUUGAGUAGUUUGGUCAAAUUUUGGUUGGAUUUUGAAUUGGAUACCUAAGUUUCUAAACUGAAAUUCAUCUUAGUCUACUGUUGAAUGAGAGGCUUGAAUUAUUGAAUGGUUUUGGUUCUAGUUUGGGAGUUAAAGUUGAUUUCUCUGAUGUAUUGAAGCUGAAAAUUUGGUAUAGCUGUUCCAACUGCUGAGGUUCUGAUUCAAUGCUGUUGUGAUUCCAAUACUUUGUUUCCACUAUUGAGGUCGACAUUCUGAGCUGGAAAUUUGUGUCUACUGCUGCUGAAUUUAGUGCUCAAGGUGUUGCUGAAGUUCUGAGCAGCAAUUGAAUAGCAAACCUACACCAACUUGUUCGAGUCUUAGAAUUUUGCAUUUAAUUGAAAUCUGUUGAUUUAAUACAAGUUCCCUAAGCACUGUUUUUAUUUUUCUGCAACAUUUAUUGAACCUGAAAUUGGGUUUGGACAUUAGAGCUUGUUUGAAGAAUUUUGAACUCAAAUACGAGUGUUUUGGACUGCUAUUGGAAGCUGUUGAAACAACCUUAAAAUUCUGCA